GGGCUUGUGGCUCAGUGUAACAGCCGUUGUUUGGCAUGCAAAAGGCCCCAGGUUCGAUCCCUGGCAUCUCCA
rnacentral:tRNA from 1 species